rnacentral:rRNA from 1 species
UACAGAGGGUGCAAGCGUUAUCCGGAAUUAUUGGGCGUAAAGAGCUCGUAGGCGGUUUGUCGCGUCUGCUGUGAAAACCCGAGGCUCAACCCCGAACUUGCAGUGGGUACGGGCAGACUAGAGUGUGGUAGGGGAGACUGGAAUUCCUGGUGUAGCGGUGAAAUGCGCAGAUAUCAGGAGGAACACCGAUGGCGAAGGCAGGUCUCUGGGCCACUACUGACGCUGAGAAGCGAAAGCAUGGGGAGCGAACAGG